rnacentral:rRNA from 1 species
GAUGAACGCUGGCGGCGUGCCUAAUACAUGCAAGUCGAGCGAAUGGAUUAAGAGCUUGCUCUUAUGAAGUUAGCGGCGGACGGGUGAGUAACACGUGGGUAACCUGCCCAUAAGACUGGGAUAACUCCGGGAAACCGGGGCUAAUACCGGAUAACAUUUUGAACCGCAUAGUUCGAAAUUGAAAGGCGGCUUCGGCUGUCACUUAUGGAUGGACCCGCGUCGCAUUAGCUAGUUGGUGAGGUAACGGCUCACCAAGGCAACGAUGCGUAGCCGACCUGAGAGGGGGAUGGGCCACACUGGGACUGAGACACGGCCCAGACGCCUACGGGAGGCAGCAGUAGGGAAUCUUCCGCAAUGGACGAAAGUCUGACGGAGCAACGCCGCGUGAGUGAUGAAGGCUUUCGGGUCGUAAAACUCUGUUGUUAGGGAAGAACAAGUGCUAGUUGAAUAAGCUGGCACCUUGACGGUACCUAACCAGAAAGCCACGGCUAACUACGUGCCAGCCGCCGCAGUAA